rnacentral:rRNA from 1 species
UUACGGUCAUAUCACAUUGAAACACAGAUUCUCGUACGAUCACUGAAGUUAAGCAACGUCGAGCCUGGUCAGUUGCUAGAUGGGUGACUGCUUGUGAAUACCACUCGCCGUAA